UGUCGUGGUCUUUUAGAACUUGGCGUGCUGUGGAAGGUGAAGUCAAAACAAUACCGAGUUUGCUUCCGAGCCAGAGCUUGUAAAUUGGGCCGUGGGCUUGGGCUAGUCCGGCGAAGUAAGUGUGAAGUUCUGGGUCGAGUGAUAGAAGGUUUCCGAAGAUGGGAAAGCCCGGUGGGCCUGGUGGUAGGUUUUGGGUUUUAGAUUUGAAGAAGUAGAGAUAUAAGUACCAAGUGAUUAUGGAAAUUGUUAAGAGUGCUAUGAGGAGUGUUGUUGUGUCACCUUUGUACCAAUCUUUGAGGUUUGUGAGUGAAACCAUGGUGCUAUUGCUAUUAUUUGUGUUGUGUUUGAGAAUUCGGAAAGGAAAUACACUAGUUCAAGAUAUUAAGGAGAUAACGAGACAGCCAAUAAUAAAAUAUGCAAAAACGACAAAUAUGGAUUUUUAAGGACGGCGGAUGAAAAUGAUACGACAAUAUAAAUGGAAUCUACAAGAAAUAAUGACCCAAAUGCAACGCAAUUAGUGCCCAAGGUAGUGAGGGCAAACCCAACAUAACAUACUAAGUGUUCAUUCAUUAUUACAUAAGCUAUUUUGACGUAUAAAACCCGAAGUAGAUAAUAUCUAAAUUGAGUAGUGGUAUAUGUACAUCCAUUUUGAUAACAACUUUUAUGACAACUUUGUUUUUUUUCUCUUUUUAUUGGUCAAAAAUAAUGGAGAGAAAAAAAGGAAGAGAGAGGAAAAGAGCUUCAUGUAAGUAUGAGAGAUAAAGUUAUCCAAAAAUUAUUAUAAAAGUUCUUAGUGGUUUUUCCAUCAUAAGAUCCCUCGUACGGUGAUUAUGACGCGACACAUUUAGUGUGUGUGAUCACAUAUAUUUAGAUUAGGAGUGGUGAUAGGUAUACAAUCCCACAUGGCAACCCCUCAUUCUAUUUUUUAUUCAUUAGAUUGGGGGCAAUUUUGUAUAACCACAAAAAUUGAGAGACGAUUCUGUAACAUACACAUACAAGUCCUUUCCAUCUUCUUCUCUCUGUUAUCUGUAUCACUGCUCUCUACGCCAUUGGCCACCGACCACCACACCGGCACACUUCCGACGAGUUCUGAUGACCACCCAUCCCAACAUUUUCCUCACUGUUUCUAGCGUCAAAACGAUCAGAUCUACACCGCCGCCCCAACUCCGACAUCAAAACGCUCAGAUCUGUACAACCACCCUAUCACCGACACCUAACACUUAGAUCUGCGUUACUACCCCCCAACGCCAAAACACGACCACUGUCAUCCUCGUCACAGAAGAAAGGGUAGAAAGAGGGGAAAACUCCGGUAGCGACGAGGCAGAAGGGGGCAGCGGUUUAACGGAGAAGAAAGAGAGAGCUCUUAGAGAGAGGCAGCCGACGGCGACGAGGUAGAAGGGCGGUGGCGGUUAUCGGAGAAGAAAGAGUGAGGUCUUUGAGAGAGAGAGAGCACUGAAGUGAGAAAGAGAAAGACAUGUUUUUUUUUUUUUUUUUAAAUAAAAGCCACGUGGGGGGUGUAUAGAGGGGUGUACAAAAAAGAGUGGCAUGUCUAUCUUUUUCCUUAGAUUAGAUACAUUCACAUGCUAAUAAAUAGUGGUACGAGGAAGUGGAGGUAGACAAGUAGUUUUAUCCUUCUUUUUCUUUUUUUUUUUUAAAAGCCAAAGUGACAAGUAGUUUUAUCUUAUAAGUUAAGAGCUCCACAUUUUAUAAUGCACAUGUAAGUGGAGGGAGUCGUCGAUUUUGUAAGUAUGAGUUAAGCCUAAUAUAAAAUUUAACACGAGAUUAGAGUUUGAUCAAGAAUGACGAAGUGGGAAUGACAUAGAGGAGCCAUGCUAGUCUUGAUUCAACCCAUGACACAUGGGACAACUCACACUUAGCGUGACGAUGAAUAUUGAAGUUGUUUUGUACUCCCUCUAUUUUAAAUUAAAUGUCAUUCUAGCAAUUUCGCAUAGAUUUAAAAAUAUAGUUAAUGUUGUAUUGAAAAGAGUAAUUAUGAGUUGUUUUACAAAAAUAUAUUUCGUUAAUAGAAAAUAUAAAGUAACAAGUAAAGGGCAUAAUAGUUUCACAUAAAUUAAGAAAUGUAGUUAAUGUUGUAUUGAAAAGAUGAACUAUGAGUUGUUUUACAAAAAUAUCUUUUGUUAAUGGAAGAUAUAAAGUACCAAGUAAGGGGCAUAAUAGGAAAGUAAACAUUAAUGAUUGGAAAUCGAACCGGAGACUUUGAAGAGGAGCACAUUCUCAAGUCUCAAGUCAAUACUACUGAACUAACCUAAGUGGGUUAAUGAUUCUUUGAUAUUGUAAAGUGACAUAGAAUUUGAAACAAACAAAUUUUGUUAGAAUUACAUAUAAUUUGGAACAUAAGGAGUAAUUUUAUAUUGCAAAGAUUCUCAAUCAGUUAGAUGUAUAAAGACGUUUGGACACAUCCUCUUUUAAGUUAGUUUUAAAAGUGAGAUCAAAAUUCAUUUAUUUUUUUUGUCAAGUAGCCUAGUGGCUAAAGCUCACACAAUUUAAUUGUGGAGAAGUGGGGUGUCUGAGGUUCGAACCCCGACCCCUACAUAUAACAUGCAAUAUCCCUACCAACUGAGCUAAGUUCACGGGAUAGAUCAAAGUUGAUUUAACUAGUACUAGUAGAGGGUUUACAACAAUGAACCAAGUUGUACGACAUUAUUCAAAUUUCGAGUAUUUUUUACGUGUGCCUAUUGACGUAUUUAUAGGGGUAAAUGCUCAAUCCCUGCAAUUUCAUGGAAGGUUUAGUCAUGCAAAAUUGAUGUAAAACAAAGUAAAAUUUUCAUCAAAAUUUUUACGUCCACCCAAAUCGAUUCAUAUGAAAGGACCAUGUGAUUUCUCAAUUUAGUCCUUUGAAGAAAACAAUUAUGGUCAUAAAUUCCCAUUGCCAAAACAAAGAAAGAUGUGAGAAAUGGUGGUAUUUUUUUGAUGGUGUCCUAGAUUCGAACCACAAACCUUGUAUAAAUUAUGCAUUAUUCCUAUCAAUUGAGUUAAACUUAUGGAGAGAAGUUGUGGUUUAUAUGCAAACCAAAGUACGCCGAGUUGAUAAAUAAUUUUGUUAUAUGCUUUGACAAUAAUUUGUAGAUAAAUUAAUGUACAAAUAAUUUCCAUUAAUAUUUUUUUUUUUUUUUGAAGAAAUUUAAAAAUUGUAAUCAAAAUUAUACAAACAAACAUAAUAAAAUACACAUACGUUACCGCAGUAAAAAGAGAGGACAAACGGACACGAUAAGGCCCAUCUUUCCGCUAGUAAAAGAUAAUUUAAAUAAAUUAGAUAAAGAAGAAUACAUACGUGAAUGUCCUAAAAAAAAAUACAUAGAUACAUGAACAUUUGAGCCCAUUUUGAUAAUUAAACAUUCAAAAGCAAGUUUGAUUUUAACCAUCCAAACAACAUGAAUUGAUAAGAAUCACUUUCAUAUGAAUUUAUUAUCCAAACAUAAAUCAAUUAUGUCAAAUUCAACUAUCUUAAAUUCAAUUCUAGCCAAUGUAGAACCAAACACGACAAUAUGUAUGAAACCGAGCAUCCAAUUUAGAGACCCAAUUCCGCCCACAAAUUAAUACGGUUUGUGCAGGUUUCGGUUUGGACGGAUCUCGGUUUGAUCAGGUGGGUUGAUUCGGUUAGUUCUCCAAUAUUUUUGUAUUCAUCUCAAAUUUAUCUGGCUAUUUUUUUUAACAAGACUUUCAUCAAUAAAUUAACAAGAAAAAGGCCAUGGAUCAAAGUAUCGUAGCAAUCAUUAAAAUAUCACGUUAUAAAAUAUUUAACAAGAAAAAUGUCAGGGAUCGGUUUUCAUUGUUUUUCUUGUUUCCAAUAUCACGUGUUCAUAAUUAAAAUAUUGCACCUUGGACAUGCAAAUAUACGGAUCUAUGAGUAAAUCAUGACUAAAUUUAAAGAAAAGUUUGCAUGUUUAAGUAAAUCUACAUAGUAAAUCAACAAAAGAUGCUUACAUGUGGAGUAAAUUUUGUUAUAGGUCGGUCGGGUUCGGUUUACACGGUUUUGGAUUUGUAAAAACUGGGCCCGACUGUCUAAACCCGCACAAACCCUAUUUUUUAGUCUUUCUUCACCCGAGACCCGUUUUAAUCCGCUCGAUGGACCCACGGGUGACUCGAAUAUAUCGGUUGGUGGGUGGGUCCGGAUUUUGUGCUCACCCCUACCAAACACACACCAUGUAUGCUAUCAAAAGUUUAAUUUUGAUAUACAUCAACAAAUUACGACCAAUCAGAAUUAGGUGUGUGAUUUUAGAAGUUGUUAUGAUUAAAGUCAAUAAUUUUUUUUUUUAAAAUGUAUUUUUUUUAAUUCAUUUGACGAUUACGAUUGAUGGACAACAUAAAAAUAAUUUCACCAAUGAUGUACACGAAUUGAAUCCCUCUUACAAAUUGAUUUCAAACAAUUUGUUUACCUGUUGUAAAUUAGAACAAGAGAAAAUGAGAAAUGGUCUAAAACAUAGAGAUGGUGGUAACAAGGAUGCCCAUUCAAAAUUGAAAUUGAGCCGAGGAGCUUUUAUCACCCCAAAAAUAAUUUUCGAUGUACACAUCUAAAAAAGGCAGUUUUUAUGUUGGUCUGAUGAAUACUUUUACUUCCAUAGAUUUUUAAAAAAUGUAGGGAUGAGCAAAUUUGUUUUCAAAAUUAAGUGUGAUGGAAACAACUGUGAGAUAGUUGGAUGACACUAUGAUAAUAAAGCAAAAGGGGAAUUGAUUGAAACAUCAAGCCAUGGAGACUGAACCACACGAGGCAGCAUGAUUUUGAUAUUGCAAAAGCUCUAAAGAAAAGGAAGUGAUGAUAAUGGAUAGGAAUUAGGAGCAGGAUGGAAACUACUAUGUUCCAGAUAGACAAAAAUAGCGUCGUUUGGUUUUUGGUGGCACUAAAGUUUUUUCACCCUUCAGCCUUCAAUAGUGUUGAAUUGCUAUGUUGAAAGCAACCUUCAAUAAGUGGAAGUGCUCUGGUGUGUUGAAUGAUGAUGUGGAGGAGAGAGAUGUUGAAUGCAUUCAACAUUCAAUGCAUUCAACAUGUUGAAUGGGAGAAUGGUGGGCCAAGCUGAAGAUGAUGUGGCGCAAAACAAGUGGUUUGUAGGGAGAGUGCACUACACAUGCCUGACAGACGCGACUGGUCUUUCUCCAAACGCAGAGAGAGAAUGUGGUGGUGGAUAAGAGCUGUCAUGUGGCGCUUGUUGAUUGGCUUGCUGGAUUAAUCUCAUCUUAAUUAUUUAAACUCAAUUAUUUCAUGACAAAUGAAUUUUUAAAUUUUUUUUAUAUCAAAAUUCAUGAUUUUUUUUUGUCUAUAAAUAGAGACUUGGUUUCUUAUAUAUUAGUUACUCACAAUUAUUUUUUUGCUAAAAUAUGAUUGGAUGAACAUAAAAAUAUAAAUAAUUUUUGCAUUAACAUUGUAUAAUAAUUAAACUCUAGAUUAUUCUUUCAAUUAAAUCAAAUUAAUAAUUUAUAAGUUUUAAAAUUUUAAAAUUAUAAGCUAAAUUCAUCCAUAUUUAUUAAUUUUAUUUAUUUAAAUAUUUUUCUGUUAAUAAAUUUUAAAUUAGUUGAUAAUUUUUUUAAAAAAAAAAAUGUUGUUUUUUAACAAAAAUAAAAUAAAAUAUGGACUAAUGGGCCGACCCAAAGCCCGGUGGGCCAGCCCAGUCCGCCACAACUUUUGUAUGGCCCAAAUGGACUUGGAUCGAAAAAGCCCGAGUGCAUUUUGUGGUUAGUUUCUUAGGCCUGGACCGACCCAAAAAUAUGGGCCGGCCCAUUUUUGACACCUCUACUUAAAACAGAUAAAACAAGAAAAAAAUCUACAAUUUAACUGUAAUCUGAAAUAUCUCUAUUUUUGGAACAUAAUUGAAUUUCAUUUAUAAAAUGGCAAGUGGACAGCACAAAAUAACCGAAUGUUCAAAUUUCAAACAGACAUCACUUACACUGAACUAGAAAACAGCUAAAUGUUACACAAAAAUUGCCAGCAACAAAAUGUGUGUCAGUUUGUGGUUUACAAGGUUAUUUGCAUUUGGUUUAUAUGAAUUUAGUUAUAAACCACUUCUCAUUAUAACUUAUUUAUCCUAUAUGUUUCUUGUAACUGCUAAUGAACAGAGCCGUCUCUAUGUUUUUAUUUUUAUUUUUUUAAGAAGUUAAAUUAGUCAUCUAAAUUGGUAUCAGGAGAAUCGAACUUGAGACAUUAAGACGUCUCUAUGAAAUUGAAAGUCUGACUCUCAUAGUAAUGAUAGAUUUCUAAUAAAAUAAAUAAAUAUUUUAAAGAGCAAAAAAAUUUGUAUAUUGUUUGCUGUUAGAACUUUGCUAUUUUAUACGACAAGUAUGAUUCAAAAAUCACAAGUGCUCUAAAAAUAUAAGAAAUUUUUUUUAAUAAAAGAUGUAAAAAUUAAAUUCUAGGUCUAGGAGUUGAAUCUAGAACCAUAAGGCUAAUAGCACUAUGUUCUACCACUAGGCCAUUACUACAUAUUGGCAAUGAUAACAUCAAUAUUAUUAUACACUCCGUUUUUACAUUCGUGUGUCUAUAUAUAAUUUUUUUUUUGCCUCAAAAUUUUGAAGGCUUACCUCGGUAGAGCUAUUUGCACCUUCCAAGAUACGACCCUAUUAAUGAAGCAAGCCUCUUCGUCAUGCAACACUUAAGCUUUGUGUUUGGAAGCUUAUACUCUUUUUUAUGGAGAUCCUUUCGGUAUAAAAAAGGUCGUAUAUAUAAAAGGUUUCAUCAAUCACUCAGAUUGGACCAUGGAUGAUCACACUCUCUCAAUUAUUAACAAGCUCUAAAAUCGAUCUUUGCAUCCUCUCUUUCACAUUUCAUAGGGAGAAAUGAGAGAGUAGAGAGGAAAUGACAAUAUCACUCUCAUCCCUACUAGAUGAAUCACUAUAAUCCGAACCACUAGUGACACUCAUAAAGCCAAAGACAUCCUUAUGAUCGACUUUAUUGUACCAUCAAAACUCUUAAUUGGAGAAUAACACAUUUUGUAAUAUAAAAAAGCACUCGGGGGAGGUUUCCCAACCCCCUCUCAUCAAAUUCUAUCUCACAAAUAAUCACCGUUGAGAAAGAAAUGAUAAACUAAGCAAGAAGCAUAGGGAAAAAUUAAAGAAAAAGGAAAGAAUACCACAAGUGUAAAGGAAAUGAUAGGAGGGAAACCCAGAAGAGAGAUAGAUGUCAAUAAAGUUACAAUAUUCAAGAACAACUUCAAAUACUUUAUAAACUUUUGCAUGAAUUGUACACUCACAUCAAGAAUAUCGAAUACAUACAACUUUACAUAAAUGUUUUACAAUGAUUAUUUGUGAGAACAUAUAUAAGUAUAUAACGUUUGGUUGAUCAUUGUAAAGCAUGAACAUUACCUUGUUGAAAAAAUAUUUCUCAAAUAACCCCUUUAAUUUGAGUGUUGUCCAAAAAUAACUCAUCUAAAAGAUUAAAAUAUGAAGAAUCCAAAAUUACAAUAGUGAAAUAUGUGUUUUUUAUUUUAUAGGUGCUAUAACCUUACCCAAAUUACAUGAGCUAUAUUAACCUGGUCUUAAUUAACACAUAGUACCAAAAAUCUUAAGUACACUCGGUUUUUUACCUUUCUCAUCUUUUUGAGAUAAAGGAUACAAGGAUGACUUAAACAAAAGAAUUAAGAAGAGUGACAAAGAAGUUAUGGUUUGAACCUCUUUCCCAGCAGAAUACCAACAAUACACUCUGCCAUUUCAAAAAACAAUUAUCUCAUUGGGAUUGUCAUUCCAAUAGACAUAAAAAGCUGAUCUGGCUUGAAAAUACUAGGAAUCAAUGUUGGAUCAAGUUAAGAUACACGAUUAAGGUGAUUACUAAAGAGGAAACAAAGGUACAAUCCUUUGAAAGCAAUCAAUGUUUCCGGUUUCCUCAUAGCAAGUGAAGGGGAUAUAAUGUUUUAUAAGUUAGAUUGAGUACUCAUAUUUAUUAUGGAUUUUAAGUGGUAAAUCGAAAAGAAUGUGCCUAAUUUUCGUCUCUGGAAAUUUUAGACAGAAGAAUAUACUAUAUGUAUCGAGAAGAAACAUUUCAGCAUCACAAGUACUGCUUAUACAGAAGACAAAUGUAUUCCCACUUGACUACUUUCUUGGUUAUAUUUGGUUCAUCUUCAAAUUUUUUCGACAAAUGAAAACAAAAUUCUCUUCCAUUUUUCUUAUUUUUUAUACAGUGUAGCUAAAUAAAUUAUUUAAGACUAAACCUAAAGUAAACCACAUCUUAAUGUAAGUUUUCAUUCCGAUUUUAUUUGCUAAUGUAAUAAUGUUUUUUAUUAUCUCAAAUUCAAUGCAUACACAACUGUAAUACAUACUUUUAUUGAAAAGAGUGAAUAUGCUUAGAGAAAUACUUGGUACAUAAAUUGCAAGAGAGAUCAUACUAGCAUUGAGUGAAUUGUUAUUCCCUUGAUCAGUGUAUCAAUUAUAAAGAUCUGGAUUAGACAGUCGUGUUGUGGGUAUGGCAAGCAAAGGCGUCUUCUUUUUUAGAACGAUACCAAAUUUCUCUGAUACAUCCAUAUUUUCUCCUUGAGGAACUGUCCAAUCAAACAAGUGCACAAGGGUGGCUACAAAGUACAAAACCGUCCUCUCAGACAUUGCUAUUCCGGCACAAAUCCUUCUUCCAGAGCCAAAAGGGAAAUAGUUGAAGUCAUUCCCACUAUAAUCCCAUUUACCAUCCAAGAACCUUAUAUGAUCAAACGUUGAUAAAGACACGAGAUCCCUCUGGAAUUGUGUAGCCUCCAAUGUUGGUGGUUUCACUUGGGCAGUGAGGGACUAAAAGUGGAAGUGUUGGGUGCAAACGAAGGGUUUCUUUCAUUACUGCUUGCAAGUAGGGUAGCUUUUGAAUAUGAGACUCUUCUACUAAGUUAUCUUUCCCAACCACGAUUUCCAGUUCCUCUUGAACCUUCCUCAUUACUUCUGGUUGUCCAUCAUUUAUGCUAUUACAAACUCAAUUGUGUUGGAGGAUGUGUCUGAUCCACCCACUACCAUGUCCUGUUCAUAUAAACAUGGAGUAAAUAGUCAAUUACACAUCUGAAAUUGCAACGUUUGUUAAAAACUCCCCUGAAAUUUUCAAACGUCUGUCAAAUACCCCCUCUGUUAGUUUCCUUUGAUUAACAUGCUAACGUGGUUGUUAAAUGUCAAUGUGGCACUGACACGUGGUCAGAAAAGUGAUGACACGUCAUAGGGGGUAAUUGACUAUAUAUAUAUAUUUUUAAAAUCUGAAUUUUUUUUAACAGUACAGAAUACUCCUUGAAAUUUUCGAAACUUCAAAUACCCCCUUCAAAUUUAACACUUACGUGCAAAUUCCCCCUCAAAUUUAAAACUUAUGUAGCAAAUAUGCCUCUCAACUUUAAAACUUAUGCAAAUUACACCCUAAAUCACAAAGACUACUACUAAAUAACAACCCAUUUGUCCAUCACGAAAAAAAUCACAAACACGAAAUAUUAGGCAUCCUCUUCUAAUGACUAGUGACUACUACUAAAUAUCAAAACCCAAAGCAUAAACUGUAUGUACAUAAUGCGAACAACGAUAAAUGCAUAAGGAAGAACCAAAUCGAUGAAUCGAAGUGAUAUCAUUGAACUAGUGCAGAAAAUUAGUAGGACAUUUGAAAACAAAAAUGUCAAAGUUAAAUUCUCUAAAGCGUGAUAUUCCCUAGCUUACUUUCUAAUACUUUAUCAGUUAUACUAAUAUCUUCCAUCUAGAGCCAACAAUGUUCAUGCAAAGCUUAAUCCUAGUUAGUUUUGACCACAAUGAAUACACUGAAACAUGCAUAUGAAGAACAAAAGCAGUUAAUUGAAGUGACAUCAUUGAACCGGUACAUAAAAUUGGUAUAAACAAAAAUGUCAAGUUUAACUCUCUAAAGAAAUAUGUCCCUAGCUUUAACUAAGAAGUGUCUAUUUAUCUGCAACAACAUCACAUUAUCAACAUUUUGUAAUAUGAUGAUACACACAAAACAUUGAAACAUACCGAUUCAAUCUAAAACAAGUGUAGUUAUCACAAGCAUGUUUCGUUCCACUGCAUUUGAUUCCUUAACAUGUCCAAUCUAAAAGAAGAAAAACCAAAUACUAAAGGCUUUAAAUAUGACCUUGCCAUAGCUUUGAUUUCCUCAAACUCACGUGCAUAAACAUAAAUAUGAUUCAAGGUGCAAUUUGCACAUAAAUUUUAAAUUUUAAUUUAAGGGGGAUGUUUAUGCAUAAGUUUUUAACUUGCGGGGGUAUUUGCACGUAAGCAAUAAAUUUGAGAGGGGUAUUUGAAGUUUCGAAAAUUUAAGGGGGUAUUUAGUACCGUUGAAAAAAAAUCAGAUUUAAAAAAAUAAAAAUAAAAUAGUCAAUUACCCCCUAUGACGUGCCAUCACUUUUCUGAUCACUUGACAAUGUCACGUUAGCAGUUAACAGCCACGUCAGCAUAUUAAACAGAGAAAACUAACGAAGGGGGAUAUUUGAAACGUUUGACAAUUUCAAGGGAUUUUUUGAAGUUUAAAAAAUUUGAGGGGGAGUUUUCUUACAAAUGUUACGAUUUCAAGGGAAGUAAUUGACUAUUUACUCUAUAAAAUAAGUUCAAUUGUAAAUAUAAACAUAUGUGUUAUUUCUUCUUUUCUUUGUUGUGAUUACUCAAUUUUAGUCUUAAAGUUAAUUGUGAAUAUUAACUUUCCUUACAUAUAAACUCUUUUGAGUUUAUUCUUUAUCUAUAUUUAAAAUUUUAAAAUAAAUUAAUUAUUUCUUACCAAUAUAUCAUUAUUCAUUUACACGUUAACUAAUUCUCCCGCCUAAAAGAUAAGCUUACAAAAUUAAUACAAAAACAUAUUUUCCGAAUUCACUAUUUUUGUCAAGAGACAUGCAUUUAAGGACAGAGGGAGUAUGAUUGUACAAUUAUAGCCAAUAAUGUUUUAAUUGCACAACAAAGUCCUUUAAAUAUCAUAAUCGUGCCAUUUUUGUUCCUAAACUUCUAAUAGUGCAAAUUAAGGAUAAUGCUUAGUUGGACAGAACCACAAAUAUAAAUUACUUAGACAUAUUCACAUAAAAAUAUUAGCCAUUUAAAUAUUUUAGCAAAAUGAAAAAAAGGUUAUUUUUUUUCUACCUUUUUGUAUUUGUGUGAGAGUGCUUAAAUACUCGAUAUACAUGUGAUUAAAGGUUCGAUUUCCGACUCAUACGUAUUAAAAAAAUCGAUCGAAAGAGGAGAAUCUACCUUAUAUAAUCCAUAGUUUUUUCAAAGGACCGCUAAAUGGCGAUGAAAACUUCAUACCAAUAUCAUAGUAACAAAAAAAUGUCACACAACAUGAAGUUUUUGUAGGUAUGUUUUUUUAGAUUAAAAACUUGUAUCAAUAUCACUACUUAAAAUACGGUGGAGGCAUCUUCUGACCCUUGCAUGGCGGAAGUUUUGGGCAUAAAGCUUGCUAUAGAGUUGAUCGAAGAGUUUGGAUGGACCAACGUGUUGAUUGAAUCCGACGCGAAGAAAGUUGUAGAUGGUAUAAACAAGCAAGCCCUCCCUCGAGGUUACUGGGGAAACGUUGGUAGAUUCCGUGUGGAUAAGAUAAAAAGUCUCCAGCAUGUCUCUAUAGGUUGGGUUAGUAGAAAUGGGAAUUGGGCUGCUCAUGCCUAUGCAAAAUGGGCUGAGGUUAAGCCCAAUCACAUUUGGCUUUGUAAUUUUCCCACCCCUGUAUUUGCUACCAAGCCUGAGCUUGAAAAUUGGGCCGUGGGCUUGGGCUAGCCAGGCGAAGUAAGUGUGGAGUUCGGGAUCGAGAGAUAGGAGGUUACCGAAGAUAGGAAGGCCCGGCGGCCCUUGGGGUAGGUUCUGGGACUUUGAUUUGAAGAAGAAGAUAUAUAAGUACCAAAGGAUUGUGGAAAUUGUUAAGAGUGUGAUGAGGAGUGUUGUGGUGUCACCUUUGUACCAAUCUUUCAUGUUCGUGUUUUCGAACAAAGAAAUUGUGAGUGGAAUCAUGAUGGUGUUAUUUGCCUAUUUUGUGUUGUGAUUAGGAAGUUAGAUAGGAAACAGUGUUGAAGAUAUUAAGGAGCGGCCAACAAUGGAAUGGAAAUAAACAAAAGGAAAACAGUAUGGAUAUUUUGCAUGAAGGGUGGACGAGAAUGAAGGAAAAUGUG
rnacentral:lncRNA from 1 species